rnacentral:misc_RNA from 1 species
GAUGAAGAACGUAGCGAAAUGCGAUAAGUAAUGCGAAUUGCAGAAUUUCCGUGAGUCAUCGAAUCUUUGAACGCACAUUGCGCCCAUUGGUAUUCCGAGGGGCAUGCCUGUUCGAGCGUCAUUUCAACCCUCAAGCACAGCUUGGUCUUGGGCUUCGCCGCUAACCCGGCGGGUCUUAAAAUCAGUGGCGGUGCCGUCGGGCCCUGAGCGCAGUAAUCUCUCUCGCUAUAGGGUCCCGGCGGAUGCUGGCCAGUAACCCCCAAUUUUCUAUGGUUGACCUCGGAUCAGGUAGGGAUACCCGCUGAACUUAAGCAUAUCAAUAAGCGGAGGA